rnacentral:rRNA from 1 species
UACAGAGGUCUCAAGCGUUGUUCGGAUUCAUUGGGCGUAAAGGGUGCGUAGGUGGCGGGGUAAGUCAGGUGUGAAAUUUCGGAGCUUAACUCCGAAACUGCAUUUGAUACUGCCUUGCUUGAGGACUGGAGAGGAGACUGGAAUUCACGGUGUAGCAGUGAAAUGCGUAGAUAUCGGGAGGAACAUCAGUGGCGAAGGCGGCUACCUGGCCCAAUACUGACACUCAGGUGCGACAGCGUGGGGAGCAAACAGG